UAAAAGAGCUGAAUUGCUGUACAGAAUUCUUGGCAUCUGAAUGUUUGGCAAACUGUCUAGCUGUUUCUGGUCGUUUCUUUCUAAGUUUUGUUGAUUUGUUUUUAAGACAUCACUGGGCAUGUUCUUCCAUUUGACUCAACAGGAUGCCAGCACUGACGUUGAAAAUGACACAGCAAAAGAGCAAGUUUGUGUAAACGAUGAUGCUAAGUUAUUAAUAUUAUUAAUAAUCAAAUGCAGUGUGUGAUGACAUAAGGAAAGAACUAAGAAUUAUUGUUUAUUUAUAGUUACACAAUACACUAGGCA
rnacentral:lncRNA from 1 species